rnacentral:rRNA from 1 species
UACGAAGGGGGGCUAGCGUUGUUCGGAAUUACUGGGCGUAAAGCGCACGUAGGCGGAUUGUUAAGUUAGGGGUGAAAUCCCAGGGCUCAACCCUGGAACUGCCUUUAAUACUGGCAAUCUAGAGUCCGAGAGAGGUGAGUGGAAUUCCGAGUGUAGAGGUGAAAUUCGUAGAUAUUCGGAGGAACACCAGUGGCGAAGGCGGCUCACUGGCUCGGUACUGACGCUGAGGUGCGAAAGCGUGGGGAGCAAACAGG